GGAAGAUGUAACGGGGCUAAACCAUGCACCGAAGCUGCGGCAGCGACACUAUGUGUUGUUGGGUAGGGGAGCGUUCUGUAAGCCUGUGAAGGUGGCCUGUGAGGGUUGCUGGAGGUAUCAGAAGUGCGAAUGCUGACAUAAGUAACGAUAAAGCGGGUGAAAAGCCCGCUCGCCGGAAGACCAAGGGUUCCUGUCCAACGUUAAUCGGGGCAGGGUGAGUCGACCCCUAAGGCGAGGCCGAAAGGCGUAGUCGAUGGGAAACAGGUUAAUAUUCCUGUACUUGGUGUUACUGCGAAGGGGGGACGGAGAAGGCUAUGUUGGCCGGGCGACGGUUGUCCCGGUUUAAGCGUGUAGGCUGGUUUUCCAGGCAAAUCCGGAAAACCAAGGCUGAGGCGUGAUGACGAGGCACUACGGUGCUGAAGCGACAAAUGCCCUGCUUCCAGGAAAAGCCUCUAAGCAUCAGGUAACAUCAAAUCGUACCCCAAACCGACACAGGUGGUCAGGUAGAGAAUACCAAGGCGCUUGAGAGAACUCGGGUGAAGGAACUAGGCAAAAUGGUGCCGUAACUUCGGGAGAAGGCACGCUGAUAUGUAGGUGAAGCGACUUGCUCGUGGAGCUGAAAUCAGUCGAAGAUACCAGCUGGCUGCAACUGUUUAUUAAAAACACAGCACUGUGCAAACACGAAAGUGGACGUAUACGGUGUGACGCCUGCCCGGUGCCGGAAGGUUAAUUGAUGGGGUUAGCGGUAACGCGAAGCUCUUGAUCGAAGCCCCGGUAAACGGCGGCCGUAACUAUAACGGUCCUAAGGUAGCGAAAUUCCUUGUCGGGUAAGUUCCGACCUGCACGAAUGGCGUAAUGAUGGCCAGGCUGUCUCCACCCGAGACUCAGUGAAAUUGAACUCGCUGUGAAGAUGCAGUGUACCCGCGGCAAGACGGAAAGACCCCGUGAACCUUUACUAUAGCUUGACACUGAACAUUGAGCCUUGAUGUGUAGGAUAGGUGGGAGGCUUUGAAGUGUGGACGCCAGUCUGCAUGGAGCCGACCUUGAA
rnacentral:rRNA from 1 species